rnacentral:tRNA from 1 species
GAAAUAUGAAAUUCAAAAAUAAGCUUCUAACUUAUUUAUUAAGCGAUGAAAUUUCGUUUAUAUUUCU